rnacentral:lncRNA from 1 species
UAUAAUUGGAAUUUUUCCUGGUUCUGGUACUUGAAUAAGAGUCUUGUUUUUCUUUUCCUCUGUUCUAUUCUUUUGCUUCUGCUAGUGAUCAUAAGCCAGUUGCUCAAAGACCGGUGUGGAAAGGGCUUAAGAAGGAAGAGGACCAGAGGGAAAUUACCAUCUGGAGACAAGAUGACACUGGGAACUUGGAGGAAAACGUUCAGUCUUUUCAAGUGCCCUGAAGACCACCUUGCUUAAAAGGUUUACUUGAAACAAUUGUAACAAUAAUCUGGAGGCAAGAUUUGGCUAAUAUUGUAUCUGGCAUCAGGAAAACAGAAUUCUCCACUGCACCGUCUGGACCCCAGUGCAAGUAAGAUCUAAUUCUCAUGCUUUGUGUCCAAAGAUCCUUUCAUGCAAGGGUGGGAGGUAUCUCUAAACCUUCAGACAACAUAUCUUGAAUACCACUACUGUCACCAAAGAGGACCUAUUCGUAAUAUUCAUUAUGCUUUUAUACAAGCAUGAUUUUCACAAAUGAAGCCCCAUUUCCUAUGUGCAUUAUCUUAAUUGGCAAAAAUCUAGCACUGACAAGAAAAAAAGAUAGCUGAAGUCCUUGCAGUACAUUUCUCUGAAGUGAGGACUUUCUGAUGUCUACUAGGUGAUCAUCCCUGGAAAGUGAAUUAUCAAUUAAGGGUAUAACUUAAACUAAAUAAUAUAUACAUAAUAUCACACAUCAGUGUUGAUGUACUUUAAAGUAAAUGUAAGGUAUGCAAGUCACUAUUCACAAUAGCAGAAAUAUGGAAUAAACUCAGGUGCCCAUCAACAGUGACUUGGAUAAGGAAAAUAUGUUACAUAUGCACCACGGAAUACUACACAGUUAUAAAAAGAAUGAAAUCAU